rnacentral:rRNA from 1 species
AUUGAACGCUGGCGGCAGGCCUAACACAUGCAAGUCGAACGAGUGGCGGACGGGUGAGUAAUGUCUGGGAAACUGCCCGAUGGAGGGGGAUAACUACUGGAAACGGUAGCUAAUACCGCAUACCAUCGGAUGUGCCCAGAUGGGAUUAGCUAGUAGGUGGGGUAACGUCUCACCUAGGCGACGAUCCCUAGCUGGUCUGAGAGGAUGACCAGCGAAACUGGAACGGAGACACGUGCCAGACACCUACGUGAGGCAGCAGUGGAGAAUAUUGCACAAGUGGCGCAAACCUGAUGCAGCCAUGCCGCGUGUAUGAAGAAGGCCUUCGGGUUGUAAAGUACUUUCAGCGAGGAGGCGUUACUCGCAGAAGAAGCACCGGCUAACUCCGUGCCAGCCGCCGCGGUAAUAC